GGGACGGGGAUGCAUCAGUAACGGCGAGUGAAGCGGCAAGAGCUCAAAUUUGAAAGCUGGCCCCUUCGGGGUCCGCGUUGUAAUUUGCAGAGGAUGCUUCGGGUGCAGCCCCCGUCUAAGUGCCCUGGAACGGGCCGUCAUAGAGGGUGAGAAUCCCGUCUGGGACGGGGUGUCUGCGUCCGUGUGAAGCUCCUUCGACGAGUCGAGUUGUUUGGGAAUGCAGCUCUAAAUGGGUGGUAAAUUUCAUCUAAAGCUAAAUACUGGCCGGAGACCGAUAGCGCACAAGUAGAGUGAUCGAAAGAUGAAAAGCACUUUGAAAAGAGAGUUAAACAGCACGUGAAAUUGUUGAAAGGGAAGCGUUUGCGACCAGACUCGCCCGCGGGGUUCAGCCGGCAUUCGUGCCGGUGUACUUCCCCGUGGGCGGGCCAGCGUCGGUUUGGGCGGCCGGUCAAAGGCCCUCGGAAUGUAUCACCUCUCGGGGUGUCUUAUAGCCGAGGGUGCAAUGCGGCCUGCCUGGACCGAGGAACGCGCUUCGGCUCGGACGCUGGCGUAAUGGUCGUAAAUGACCCGUCUUGAAACCG
rnacentral:rRNA from 1 species